UACGAAGGGGGCUAGCGUUGCUCGGAAUGACUGGGCGUAAAGGGCGCGUAGGCGGUUUGUACAGUUGGAUGUGAAAUUCCUGGGCUCAACCUGGGGGCUGCAUUCAAUACGUGCGAGCUUGAGUUCGGAAGAGGGUCGUGGAAUUCCCAGUGUAGAGGUGAAAUUCGUAGAUAUUGGGAAGAACACCGGUGGCGAAGGCGGCGACCUGGUCCGAUACUGACGCUGAGGCGCGAAAGCGUGGGGAGCAAACAGG
rnacentral:rRNA from 1 species